rnacentral:lncRNA from 1 species
AGAGUGAGAGUAAGAGAGAGAGAGAGAGAGGAGCUAGCAUCUUAUUAAUUAUAUGGAGCUUCAAUCCAAUUCCAGCCACUGCAAAGUGAGAGAGAAGCAGUUUAUUUUAAAUCAACUCAAUUAAAUAUAAUUCAAGACAACCGAAAUUCAUUAUGUCAUGAUGCGAGCUUUUUUUUUUUUAAAAAAAAAUAGUGGAUUAAAAAAGACUGUUAAAUUUAACGGUAUGACAAAAAUUUUUGAUUUAAUUUGUGUGAUUACAAAAAUCUGAAUC